GGCCGUGCCGUGCUUGAGCCGGGCCGAUUGUCGUGCUCCGUGCUGGGCCGCCGGCACGUGGGUUGCAUGCUCAUAUUUAACUCCCGCGUCAGCUUUUCUUAGGGCACUCCCAAUACAGACUCCACUAUGGUUUUUAUGACUAUUUAUUACUCUUUUAUUUAUUGCAUUUUGCUGAGGUUGCACCGUAUUUAUUGAAGAAAGAGAACCAGAACUGAAGAAACCGAGUCUAGCUUAGACUCGACGUCUACCCUUGCAACGAUGCUCAAGAAACCUGGUGAUCCGCGUUGGGGAAGAGUACCGUAGUUUCCAUCAAGACUCUGAGAUCUGAUGCGCCUUCAUCCCGCCGCUGAUCCGGUGCACCUUCAUCCCCUUCAUCCCGCCGCCGAUCCAAUGUGCCUUCAUCCCACCGCCGCCAUCCUUCCCGUGCGAGCCUACCCUGCUCCCGCCCGCACCUACGAUCCCUGUCCCGUGCGCGCUCUCACUCAAUCCCACCCUGUCUCGCGCCUUGCCGCCAUCUCCCGCGCGUGCUUGUGCCCUUGGCAAGAUGCCACCGCCACCACCAAACUUUUCCUCGCGCGUGCAGCUCUGCCAUCCCAUGCUCCCCCCAAUCUCCUUCCCUCUCCCACGCGUAGCCCCUCCCUCUCCCGUGC
rnacentral:lncRNA from 1 species